GCUCCGGCUCCUCCAGGCCGUGAGGCAGACCCGGGGACAAGGUGCAAAACCCGGCACGGACGUCGCCCGGCAGGAGCGGACAUGGCGCGGGGUCGCCCUCAGCGCUCGCCCACGGCCACUGGCAAACGGUGGUGGGUGCCUCCACAGAGUGCGCGGGUGAUUAAUGCAUCAAGAAUAACAGCUCGGGAAUCCCGGGUUUUAAAACGUUUUGCAGACAAAGCUGUUGCACGCACAAUCUUAACUGGUUGUUAGUUUAUAAGUAGCAGUACCUAGACAAACUAGAGCUAUCUCAGAGAGACACCCUUGUCCUUUAACAUGCAGCUGGAAAUAAAAUUGGGAACU